CCCUCUUCUCCCAUUUUCUUAGUUAGAAACUUCCAUUUUCAGAGCUAUAUAUUCACCAUAUUAUUCCUUUUGGAGAGAUGAAAUCCUGGUGAGCAUUAGCCAUGUCAAAGAUUAAACGUUUUCGGAAUCCACUAAAGUUAGCUCGUGAUUCACAUGAUGCUCAUGGACAUUCUUCAUCAUCAACAACUCCAGUCCAAUCACAUGCUAUAGAGCCCUCAACAACAGUACAAGCUUUCCCACAUGCUCAUGAAGUCCCGCAACAAGAAUAAGCUCCAAUUCCACCUUCUAAUUCAAGUGCAACAUCUGUGCGCCGUCCAGGUCGUGAAUCUAAAAAAUAUUGGACAGUAGAGGCAAAAGACUCAGACAAUGCUACCAAGCAUAUUAGGGUCAAGGUCAAUGAGGUUAACAACCUAACUGUUGGGGAGUGCAUCAUUGUGAAUUUUGAUGACUACAACGCAGCAUAUGGUGAAGCACAUGGAUUGCUCGCUGGAUAUUGUGGAACGUUGGCAAUUGAUUGUAAUUUGUUCCCGAUUAGUUUUGAGAAGUGGUCAGGGCCAUCAGGCAUGCCUAAGAAGUACAUGGAAGACUGCUAUGAAACAAUAUUGAAGCCUCGAUUUGAUUUUCGGGUAAGUGAGUCCAUUGCAGAUAUUGCAAUGCUAGUAUUUCAAAGAAGUGGGCUACACAUAGGCAGAAGUUGUGGAAUGAAUAUUUUGACCCAGCCAAAAGCAAAAAUGAAAUUCUAAGUAAUGUACCAGCAGGUAUAAAUAAAGAUCAAUGGGCUAGUUUUGUUGCUUACCGUAAAAAAAUCAACAACGAUGGAGCUUUGUAGAAGAAAUAAAGAAAAUCAAAAGAAGCAAAAAAUGCCGCAUACUGGUGGAUCAAAAGCUAUCCCGAGAAGACGACAUGAGCUGUUUUUGGAAACUGGAAAAACUCCUAGUCGUGGAAAACUAUUUAUUGAAACUCAUAAGUGAAGCAAUGGAUCGUUUGUAAAUGAUGCGGCAAGGACUAUAGGGAUUUGGGCCAUUUGGAGUCGGAUACUCGUGGCAAAAGCGU